GACGGAAGGUGCAAGCGUUGCUCGGAAUCACUGGGCGUAAAGGGUGCGUAGGCGGCCGUGCAAGUCUGGCGUGAAAGCCCCGGGCUCAGCCCGGGAAGUGCGCUCGAAACUGCGCGGCUCGAGUGCCGGAGGGGAGAGUGGAAUUCCUGGUGUAGCGGUGAAAUGCGUAGAUAUCAGGAGGAAUACCGGUGGCGAAAAGCGACUCUCUGGACGGCAACUGACGCUGAGGCACGAAAGCGUGGGGGAGCAAACAGG
rnacentral:rRNA from 1 species